rnacentral:rRNA from 1 species
AACGCUGGCGGCGUGCUUAACACAUGCAAGUCGAGCGGGCAAUUUAUCUAGCACUGAUUACUUCAAAUGGCUAUCGCCAGUGUAAUCAUGAAUUUCUACCUUUAAUAAAGAAAAAAGAAAUUCAUGUACGCAAAUAGUGAUAACACAUUUUAGUGGAGUGAUGAGUGCUGGAUAAAUUGCUAGCGGCGGACGGGUGCGUAACACGUGGGUAACCUGCCCCUAUCACUGGGAUAACACACUGAAAAGUGUGCUAAUACCAGAUAACAUAAGCUUUUGGCAUCAUUAGCUUAUCAAAGAAUUUCGGAUAGGGAUGGGCCCGCGUCUGAUUAGCUUGUUGGUGAGGUAACGGCUCACCAAGGCAACGAUCAGUAGCCGACCUGAGAGGGUGAUCGGCCACACUGGAACUGAGACACGGUCCAGACUCCUACGGGAGGCAGCAGUGGGGAAUAUUGCACAAUGGGCGAAAGCCUGAUGCAGCAACGCCGCGUGAGCGAUGAAGGCCUUCGGGUCGUAAAGCUCUGUCCUAUGGGAAGAUAAUGACGGUACCAUAGGAGGAAGCCCCGGCUAACUACGUGCCAGCAGCCGCGGUAAUACGUAGGGGGCAAGCGUUAUCCGGAAUUACUGGGCGUAAAGGGUGCGUAGGCGGUUUAUCAAGUCAGGGGUGAAAGGCUACGGCUCAACCGUACUGAGCCUCUGAAACUGGUGAACUUGAGUGUAGGAGAGGAAAGUGGAAUUCCCAGUGUAGCGGUGAAAUGCGUAGAUAUUGGGAGGAACACCAGUGGCGAAGGCGACUUUCUGGACUACAACUGACGCUGAGGCACGAAAGCGUGGGGAGCAAACAGGAUUAGAUACCCUGGUAGUCCACGCUGUAAACGAUGA